rnacentral:tRNA from 1 species
AUAGAGUUAGUGCAUAAUUUUAUUUCCUUUGAUGGAAUGUUUUGGAUAGUAUAACGAACAAGAAACAUGGUGCAAAUGCCGUCGCUUUUUA